AUGGCAGCAGGAGCACCUGGUUAUGUCCUACACCUCAUAAGGGACACCACAAUGAAAAAACCUGCCAACAACACAAUUCCUCCACCUGUAGAGGAAGUGAUUCAGCAAUUUCCUGAAGUUUUCCAAGAGCCCAAAGGUCUUCCCCCCAAGAGGUCACAUGACCAUAAAAUUCCAUUGAAGGAAAAGGAAAAACCACCUAACUCUAGGCCCUACAGAGUGCCUCAUAUGCAGAGAAAUGAGUUAGAAAGGCAGAUUGAUGGCAUGCUCAGGGAUAAAAUUAUUAGAGCUAGUGAAAGCCCUUACUCCUCUCCAGCAAUACUAGUUAUGAAAAAGGAUGGCACUUGGCGAAUGUGCAUUGAUUACAGAAAGUUGAAUGCUGCUACUAUCAAGAAUAAGUUCCCUAUUCCUGUCAUUGAGGACUUACUUGAUGAACUGCAUGGAGCAACUUACUUCACCAAGUUAGACCUGAGAUCAGGCUAUCACCAGGUCAGAAUGAGUGAAGAAGAUAUACCAAAGACAACUUUUAGAACAUAG
rnacentral:rRNA from 1 species